CACGUAGGGGGCGUGCGUUGUCCGGAUUUAUUAGGCGUAAAGAGCUAGUAGGCGGCUCGGUAAGUCGGGUGUGAAACCUCCAGGCUCAACCUGGAGACGCCACCCGAUACUGCCGUGGCUAGAGUUCGGUAGAGGAGCGUAGAAUUACUGGUGUAGCGAUGAAAUGCGCAGAUAUCAGGAGGAAUACCAGCGGCGAAGGCGGCGCUCUGGGCCGGUACUGACGCUGAGGAGCGAAAGCGUGGGGAGCAAACAGG
rnacentral:rRNA from 1 species